rnacentral:lncRNA from 1 species
CAUUGCCAAAUAAGUUUGAAGACUUAACCAAUAGGAGGAGCCAUAAACGAAAGAAUGUCCUUCAAUCACUUGCACCAAAAGAUGAGAGUGUGAUGGUUUGACCGGAAACCAAGCCUAAAAAAUUGAGUUAACAACACUCUCACCUGAACUAGAAAAAGGCCGCAAACCUCCCUAGUUUGCUAAGGAGUAUAACCAUAAACUUGCAAAAAAACAAAAACAAAAACAAAAGGAAAAGAAAAG